rnacentral:rRNA from 1 species
UACGUAGGGGGCAAGCGUUGUCCGGAUUUAUUGGGCGUAAAGAGCGUGUAGGCGGCCAGACAGGUCCACUGUGAAAACUCGAGGCUCAACCUCGAGAGGUCGGUGGAAACCGUCUGGCUAGAGUCCGGAAGAGGAGAGUGGAAUUCCGUGGUGUAGCGGUGAAAUGCGCAGAUAAUCGAGGAAGAACACCAUGGCGAAAGCAGCUCUCUGGGACGGUACUGACGCUGAGACGCGAAAGCGUGGGGAGCGAACAGG